rnacentral:misc_RNA from 1 species
AAGUCGUAACAAGGUUUCCGUAGGUGAACCUGCGGAAGGAUCAUUAACACGUAUCCAACGUUAAAACCCCUGUGAACUUUCAGCCUGCUCUUGUGGCCCGUGUGAAGCAGCAAUUCCGGUAAAUCAAGUGGGAGGAACAGUUUUGAUUCGGAACCUCUGCUCCAUAUGCGCACGCUGCAAUUGAGCGGUAGAAGCAGUGGCAUGGCGUCCCCAAGCCUCCAGUGAAUGAAAGUGUCACUGGAAAGUGUAAGGAUAACGCUUCUCGGUUGCUAGAGGUCGAUCAUGCCACAGGGUCACCGCGCCCCUAAUCACUCCCUCUGAACCGUACGCCGGCGCCGUUGAAAAGCUGCGCUAAAAAAAACCGAACAACUGUUAACAAUGGAUAUCUUGGUUCUC